UGCAACAGCAUUAGUGAGUUUGAUGAUAAAGCAACUUUGACAUAUGUGCAGUUAAUUGUUGAGAAUGUUUGAUUAAUAAUUAUGAAAUGAAGAUUUAACUAAUUUGAUGAUUCCAUAUUAACUAUCAAUUUGUGUAUGAAAAUUAAUAAAACUAAUACAAAAUUGGAUGUUGUUUUUGAAUAUGCUUUCAUAAAUUGAAUUGUAAACCUUAUUUGAUGACUUCCAUUACAAUCCCUAUAAUGGGUGCAUGCUAGUUCUGACUAAUGAGGAUUGAGGUAUGAUAUAACUUUCUCAAAUCAACUGAAUUAGUCAGAAAUAUGAAGAACCAACAAAAAAGAAUUAUCAUCAAUGAUGUUGAAAGAGAUGAAAAGAAAGAGAGAGAACUCAUAGUGUGUCCAUUGAAUAUUUGCCUGCUGAUGAAAAAGUUCAUAAUUUUUCAUUAUGGUUGCCAAAAUUCUUGCCUGUCUGUGAUAGUUACAAGAAAAAAGGAAGAUUUCUGUCUUAAGUAUAUCUAUGAGUUUUUAUUAAAUUAAUCUAUUGUCCUCAUAAUGUUAGAGUUAGAUUUAUUGUUUAAGAUUUUUGGUUUUGAC
rnacentral:lncRNA from 1 species